rnacentral:rRNA from 1 species
GAUGAACGCUAGCGGCAGGCUUAACACAUGCAAGUCGAGGGGCAGCACUGGUAGCAAUACCUGGUGGCGACCGGCGCAAGGGUGCGUAACGCGUGAGCAACAUGCCCGUAUCAGGGGAAUAAUCCAGGGAAACUUGGUCUAAUACCCCAUAGUAAAUAUUAAAGGCAUCUUUAAUAUUUUAAAGCUUUGGUGGAUACGGAUUGGCUCGCGUGACAUUAGCUGGAUGGUAAGGUAACGGCUUACCAUGGCUACGAUGUCUAGGGGUUCUGAGAGGAAGAUCCCCCACACUGGAACUGAGACACGGUCCAGACUCCUACGGGAGGCAGCAGUGAGGAAUAUUGGACAAUGGAUGGAAAUCUGAUCCAGCCAUGCCGCGUGCAGGAAGACGGCCCUAUGGGUUGUAAACUGCUUUUAUAUGGGAGCAAUAAGGCCUACGUGUAGGUUGAUGAGAGUACCAUAUGAAUAAGCACCGGCUAACUCCGUGCCAGCAGCCGCCGUAAGAC